GAUGAACGCUGGCGGCGUGCCUAAUACAUGCAAGUCGAGCGAAUGGAUUAAGAGCUUGCUCUUAUGAAGUUAGCGGCGGACGGGUGAGUAACACGUGGGUAACCUGCCCAUAAGACUGGGAUAACUCCGGGAAAUCGGGGCUAAUACCGGAUAACAUUUUGAACCGCAUGGUUCGAAAUUGAAAGGCGGCUUCGGCUGACACUUAUGGAUGGACACGUGUAGCAUUAGCUAGUGGGUGAGGUAACGGCUCACCAAGGCAACGAUACGUAGCCGACCUGAGAGGGUGAUCGGCAACACUGGGACUGAGACACGGACCAGACUCCUACGGGAGGCAGCAGUAGGGAAUCUUCCGCAAUGGACGAAAGUCUGACGGAGCAACGCCGCGUGAGUGAUGAAGGCUUUCGGGUCGUAAAACUCUGUUGUUAGGGAAGAACAAGUGCUAGUUGAAUAAGCUGGCACCUUGACGGUACCUAACCAGAAAGCCACGGCUAACUACGUGCCAGCAGCCGCCGUAA
rnacentral:rRNA from 1 species